UUAGGGUUCGAUUCCGGAGAGGGAGCCUGAGAAACGGCUACCACAUCCAAGGAAGGCAGCAGGCGCGCAAAUUACCCAAUCCCGACACGGGGAGGUAGUGACAAUAAAUAACAAUACGGGGCUCUUUCGGGUCUCGUAAUUGGAAUGAGUACAAUUUAAAUCCCUUAACGAGGAACAAUUGGAGGGCAAGUCUGGUGCCAGCAGCCGCGGUAAUUCCAGCUCCAAUAGCGUAUAUUAAAGUUGUUGCAGUUAAAAAGCUCGUAGUUGAAUUUCGGGAUUGACACAUCGGUCGUGCCUUAAGGGGUAUGAACUGGUGUAGUCAAUUUCUCACCUUCUGGAGAACGGCGAUGCCCUUAAUUGGGUGUCGCGGGGAACCAGGACCUUUACUUUGAAAAAAUUAGAGUGUUUAAAGCAGGCAUUUUGCUUGAAUACAUUAGCAUGGAAUAAUAAAAUAGGACGGCAUGAUUCUAUUUUGUUGGUUUCUAGGAUCACCGUAAUGAUUAAUAGGGAUAGUUGGGGGCAUUAGUAUUCAAUUGUCAGAGGUGAAAUUCUUGGAUUUAUUGAAGACUAACUACUGCGAAAGCAUUUGCCAAGGAUGUUUUCAUUAAUCAAGAACGAAAGUUAGGGGAUCGAAGACGAUCAGAUACCGUCGUAGUCUUAACCAUAAACUAUGCCGACUAGGAAUCAGACGAUGUUAAUUUUUUAAUGACUCGUUUGGCACCUUACG
rnacentral:rRNA from 1 species